AGUUGUCUUGCUUAGCUCUCCGUGGAUGUCUUUAGUCUGGGUCGGGCGUUUAUGUUCCAUCCGUCGGUGCUGAACCUGGCGUUCCAUAAGGUCGAGCAGCACGGCUAUUUCCACACGGCGUGGUCGGCAAAGGUUUUCCUAAAACUCACCUUUUGGAGAGAAGCAAAUGACUUUCGCUGUCGGAAUCAUGAAGCCGGUCGGUGUGAGAGGACAGUUUCUCGUGUUAUUCUUCUUUUCGUGCAUCCACGGGUACUAUUUCUGGGUCAGAGAUUUGGCGUGUAGUGGGCUUCCCCAAUCUGCGCUGUGCCGGGGCCCUGCAUGGCGUGGCUGAGUGCCGAGACUCAAGCUUGGGAUGGUGUGCUCGAAAAGGAGGCACUGCUGGAGGCCUGUAGGAGACUGUCACGACAAUGGAUGGGAUUUCUCGCACUUUUCACAAACUGCAAGACUGCAGGAAAUGACGGUGUACCACUCUUACUCAGUACAUCCAUCAGUAUUAGGUUGUCUCUCCCUAUUUCCAAAUGUCUUUCAGUCGUUUUGAUAAUAUGCAAGUUUAUUUUCAUUUUGCUGAAUUUGAACCAAAGAGCGACGUGUACUGAGCAAAUUAUGCGCUUAUCAUAUUGCUAAUUUUCUGAUGCUUUUUGUUGUGUAACACCUCUACUAUGAAGGCAAAUACUUAAGUCAAUUAGUGUCUUUUAUUUCUUCAGAAGUGGAGCAGCAUGGAAUGUAUGACAUCAAAAAAAAAAAAAAAAAAAAAAUUCAAACUAAUAAACAGCUUCUGAUCGUUGUCUCUUUCGAAUGUUUAAGCAACAUAUGAUUAACAUUUGCACACAUCGAUUAAUAUUCGAACACACUGACCUUUGAUAAACAGUCUUGCUGUUAGCACUUGUUUCAGCACUGACAUGACUGGAAGAAUCGCAGGAUCUGGGUUCUUUUUACCCAUUAACUGGAGUAUUUGGGGUAAAUAACACAUUCUACUGUCCAUGGAAACAAAUAAAUACAUUUGAAAGACCUAAAAGACACGAGCCCACGCUGUAUAAGACUGUUGAAUAAAAAACUCGUGUUCGUAUGCAUCCUUCCUCAAGUGCAAAAUGCAAAACAGAAAAGAAGUCGUGACUGAGGAUAAUUUUGAAGACUUAAAAUUCACACACACACACACA